GAUGAACGCUGACAGAAUGCUUAACACAUGCAAGUCAACUGUGGCGGACGGGUGAGUAACGCGUAAAGAACUUGCCUCACAGCUAGGGACAACAUUUGGAAACGAAUGCUAAUACCUGAUACUGUGAGAGAGCUUUGCGUCCCAUUAGCUAGUGGGAGAGGUAACGGCUCACCAAGGCGAUGAUGGGUAGCCGGCCUGAGAGGGUGAUCGGCCACAAGGGGACUGAGACACGGCCGUUACUCCUACGGGGGGCAGCAGUGGGGAAGAUUGGACAAUGGACAAAAGUCCGAUCCAGCAAUUCGGUGGGCACGAUGAAGUUUUCGGAAUGUAAAGUGCUUGCAGUUGGGAAGCGGUACCAACAGAAGAAGUGACGGCUAAAUACGUGCCAGCAGCCGCGGUAAUUC
rnacentral:rRNA from 1 species